GACGAACGCUGGCGGCGUGCUUAACACAUGCAAGUCGAACGGAAAGGCCCUGCUUUUGUGGGGUGCUCGAGUGGCGAACGGGUGAGUAACACGUGAGUAACCUGCCCUUGACUUUGGGAUAACUUCAGGAAACUGGGGCUAAUACCGGAUAGGAGCUCCUGCUGCAUGGUGGGGGUUGGAAAGUUUCGGCGGUUGGGGAUGGACUCGCGGCUUAUCAGCUUGUUGGUGGGGUAGUGGCUUACCAAGGCUUUGACGGGUAGCCGGCCUGAGAGGGUGACCGGCCACAUUGGGACGGAGAAACGGCCAAGAUCCCACCGGGGGGCAGGGGGGGGGAAUAUUGCAAAAGGGGGGGAAGCCUGAUGCAGCAACGCCGGGGGGGGGAGGACGGCCUUCGGGUUGGAAACCGCUUUCCCCUGUGAGGAAGCGUGGGGGGGGGUAAUGGGUAAAAAAGCCCCGGCUAACUAGGG
rnacentral:rRNA from 1 species